rnacentral:rRNA from 1 species
GUCCACGCCGUAAACGAUGGAUACUAGCUGUUGGGAGUAAUCUCAGUGGCUAAGCGAAAGUGAUAAGUAUCCCACCUGGGGAGUACGUUCGCAAGAAUGAAACUCAAAGGAAUUUACGGGGGCCCGCACAAGCGGUGGAGCAUGUGGUUUAAUUCGAUGAUACGCGAGGAACCUUACCAAGGCUUAAAUGUAGAUUGACCGGUUUUGAAACAGAUCUUUCGCAAGACAAUUUACAAGGUGCUGCAUGGUUGUCGU